ACGUACUACAAUGGCCGGUACAAAGGGCAGCGACACAGGCGAUGUGAAGCGAAUCCCGAAAAGCCGGUCUCAGUCCGGAUUGGAGUCUGCAACUCGACUCCAUGGAAGUUGGAAUCGCUAGUAAUCGCGGAUCAGCACGCCGCGGUGAAUACGUUCCCGGGCCUU
rnacentral:rRNA from 1 species